rnacentral:rRNA from 1 species
AGGUGCAUCUGAAACUAUAAUUCUUGAGUGCUGGAGAGGAAAGCGGAAUUCCUAGUGUAGCGGUGAAAUGCGUAGAUAUUAGGAAGAACACCAGUGGCGAAGGCGGCUUUCUGGGACAGUAACUGACGCUGAGGCGCGAAAGCGUGGGGAGCAAACAGGAUUAGAUACCCUGGUAGUCCACGCUGUAAACGAUGGAUACUAGGUGUAGGAGGUAUCGACCCCUUCUGUGCCGGAGUUAACACAAUAAGUAUCCCACCUGGGGAGUACGGCCGCAAGGCUGAAACUCAAAGGAAUUGACGGGGGCCCGCACAAGCAGUGGAGUAUGUGGUUUAAUUCGAAGCAACGCGAAGAACCUUACCAGGGCUUGACAUCCCUCGGAUAACAUAGAGAUAUGCUAGUCCUUCGGGACGAGGAGACAGGUGGUGCAUGGUUGUCGUCAGCUCGUGUCGUGAGAUGUUGGGUUAAGUCCCGCAACGAGCGCAACUCCUAUUGUUAGUUGCCAUCAUUAAGUUGGGCACUCUAACGAGACUGCCGGUGACAAAUCGGAGGAAGGUGGGGACGACGUCAAAUCAUCAUGCCCCUUAUGUCCUGGGCUACACACGUACUACAAUGGUCACUACAAAGGGAAGCAAUACCGCAAGGAGGAGCAAAUCCCCAAAGGUGACCUCAGCUCGGAUUGUGGGCUGAAACCCGCCCACAUGAAGUCGGAAUUGCUAGUAAUGGCAGGUCAGCAUACUGUCGUGAUACGUUCCCGGGCCUUGUACACACCGCCCGUCACACCAUGAGAGUUGCAACACCCGAAGUCAGUAGCU